ensembl:lincRNA G930045G22Rik RIKEN cDNA G930045G22 gene
AUGUACCGGGGAACACAUGCCCAUGGAAUCUUCACCUUGCUCUGGCAAUCUGAUAAACUGAGACAAAUGAGCCACUUGGCCCCAUGGCACUCUCAUCACAAAGGCCGCAGAACAAACUGCAAGUGCCUCCUGUCCCAACAAUAACCACCCAGCAGAUCGGAAGGCCAUCCAUUUCCACGCAGUGGCUGGCCAGGUGAUGGAGCACAAGGCUCCUCCCGAUCGCUAGCCAUUCAGAGCAGAAAUGGGGUUUUCCGUUUGUCACGGCCUCUCAAGAGCUUGCCUCAUUCAGGGACCGCACUUCCUUCCACAAGCAUUAUUAUUGGCGUAAUCAUUCUUUCAAAUGGACCCCUGGAGGCGUGUGCCUUCCCCGGAUGCUGUGCAUUUUCUCUGAUGGGUUUUAAAAAUAAACAACAGAAAGUUCCCAAGGUUAAGCAAUACUUGGAGUUGGCAGUAGUGUCAAAAAGAGCCAAACGACAGAGAGAG